rnacentral:rRNA from 2 species
UACAGAGGUCUCAAGCGUUGUUCGGAAUCACUGGGCGUAAAGGGUGCGUAGGUGGCGUGGAAAGUCAGAUGUGAAAGCCCGGGGCUCAACCUCGGAAUAGCAUCCGAUACUCCCAUGCUAGAGUACUGAAGAGGUGACUAGAAUUCUCGGUGUAGCAGUGAAAUGCGUAGAUAUCGAGAGGAAUACCAACGGCGAAGGCAGGUCACUGGGCAGUUACUGACACUGAGGCACGAAGGCCAGGGGAGCAAACGGG